rnacentral:rRNA from 1 species
CCUACGGGAGGCAGCAGUAGGGAAUAUUGCUCAAUGGGGGAAACCCUGAAGCAGCAACGCCGCGUGGAGGAUGAAGGUUUUCGGAUUGUAAACUCCUUUUGUUAGAGAAGAUAAUGACGGUAUCUAACGAAUAAGCACCGGCUAACUCCGUGCCAGCAGCCGCGGUAAUACGGAGGGUGCACGCGUUACUCGGAAUCACUGGGCGUAAAGAGAGCGUAGGCGGGAUAGCAAGUCAGGUGUGAAAUCCUAUGGCUUAACCAUAGAACUGCAUUUGAAACUGUUAUUCUAGAGUAUGGGAGAGGUAGGUGGAAUUCUUGGUGUAGGGGUGAAAUCCGUAGAGAUCAAGAGGAAUACUCAUUGCGAAGGCGACCUGCUAGAACAUAACUGACGCUGAUGCGCGAAAGCGUGGGGAGCAAACAGGAUUAGAUACCCGAGUAGUC